UGGGGAAUUUUGGACAAUGGGCGCAAGCCUGAUCCAGCCAUGCCGCGUGAGUGAUGAAGGCCCUAGGGUUGUAAAGCUCUUUCACCGGUGAAGAUAAUGACGGUAACCGGAGAAGAAGCCCCGGCUAACUUCGUGCCAGCAGCCGCGGUAAUACGAAGGGGGCUAGCGUUGUUCGGAUUUACUGGGCGUAAAGCGCACGUAGGCGGACUAUUAAGUCAGGGGUGAAAUCCCGGGGCUCAACCCCGGAACUGCCUUUGAUACUGGUAGUCUUGAGUUCGAGAGAGGUGGGUGGAAUUCCGGGUGUAGAGGUGAAAUUCGUAGAUAUUCGGAGGAACACCAGGGGCGAAGGCGGCUCACUGGCUCGAUACUGACGCUGGGGUGCGAAAGCGUGGGGAGCAAACAGG
rnacentral:rRNA from 1 species